CGGUCGGCAGUUCACCCAGGCGUCGCCGGUCCCAUUUGGGACAUGCUAAACCUGCCA
rfam:Alpha proteobacterium AAP38 AAP38_Contigs_9, whole genome shotgun sequence.